UACGUAGGGAGCGAGCGUUGUCCGGAAUUACUGGGCGUAAAGGGCGCGUAGGCGGCUUGUUAAGUUGUAUGUGAAAGACCAGGGCUUAACCGUGGGGUUGCAUACAAAACUGGCGAGCUUGAGUGUGGUAGAGGAUAGCGGAAUUCCUAGUGUAGCGGUGAAAUGCGUAGAUAUUAGGAGGAACACCAGUGGCGAAGGCGGCUAUCUGGGCCACAACUGACGCUGAGGCGCGAAAGCGUGGGGAG
rnacentral:rRNA from 1 species